rnacentral:rRNA from 1 species
GACGAACGCUGGCGGCGUGCUUAACACAUGCAAGUCGAACGGAAAGGCCCUGCUUUUUUGGGUUGCUCGAGUGGCGAUCGGGUGAGUAACACGUGAGUAACCUGCCCUUGACUUUGGGAUAACUUCAGGAAGCUGGGGCUAAUACCGGAUAGGAGCUCCUGCUGCAUGGUGGGGGUGGGAAAGUUUCGGCGGUUGGGAAUGGACUCGCGGCUUAUCAGCUUGUUGGUGUGGUAGUGGCUUACCAAGGCUUUGACGGGUAGCCGGCCUGAGAGGGGUACCGGACACAUUGGGACUGAGAUACGGCCCAGACUCAAACGGGAGGCAGCAGUGGGGAAUAUUGCACAAUGGGCGGAAGCCUGAUGCAGCAACGCCGCGUGCGGGAUGACGGCCUUCGGGUUGUAAACCGCUUUCGCCUGUGACGAAGCGUGAGUGACGGUAAUGGGUAAAGAAGCACCGGCUAACUACGUG